CGGGCUUUGUUGCGGGAAGUGACAGUCACUUUUUUAGAGAUCCGAAAGUACAUAGAGUUUGGGUCAGUUAGAUGCGACACUUUCUUGUCAAUAAAAAUACACUCAAAUAUUCUUAUGGCCUCCAUCUUGUUCCGAGUUUUUCUCAACUUCAACAAUUUGUCGUUGGAAGAAUCAUUUAACUUGUCUUCGUGGGAUGACUCCAUCUUCGUCGAAGUAUUGAGAAGCAAACGAUAUUCCAUCAAAU
rnacentral:misc_RNA from 1 species